GGGGAAUAUUGCACAAUGGGCGAAAGCCUGAUGCAGCAACGCCGCGUGAGUGAUGAAGGCCUUCGGGUUGUAAAGCUCUGUCUUCUGGGACGAUAAUGACGGUACCAGAGGAGGAAGCCACGGCUAACUACGUGCCAGCAGCCGCGGUAAUACGUAGGUGGCAAGCGUUGUCCGGCUUUACUGGGCGUAAAGGACGCGUAGGCGGAUACUUAAGUCAGAUGUGAAAAUCCCGGGCUUAACUUGGGAACUGCAUUUGAAACUGAGUAUAUAGGGUGCGAGAGAGGAAAGUGGAAUUCCUAGUGUAGCGGUGAAAUGCGUAGAGAUUAGGAAGAACACCAGUGGCGAAGGCGACUUUCUGGACCGUAACUGACGCUGAGGCAUGAAAGCGUGGGGAGCAAACA
rnacentral:rRNA from 1 species